GCCAAUAACAAAGGUAUUACCAAUGUUAACUCCAACAGGAAGGGCAGGUGCAUGAUUAUCAUCCACAAAAUUGCUAGAACUUAAUCUUUUUCGUUCCAAAUAUUUUUGAGGUAUCGAAAUGCAGGAUAGCUCAUUCAGCAAUCUCAAAUGUUGCAAUUCAUACACCUCAUAAUGAUAAGUUGAAAGUAAUCUGACCCCAAGAAUGUAUAAAAAGCAUGGAUUAGAAGUAGAUACAACAAUCAAAUCAUGUCCAACGGCCCCUAAACUGAUACUCAUAUUAU
rnacentral:misc_RNA from 1 species